rnacentral:ribozyme from 1 species
ACUCGACUAGGCGAGUAUAAACAGCGUUUAGGCCUAGUGCGGUUCAAUUCCAUUCCUAAAAUGGAAUUGAACAUACGC